UGCAUCCUUGGAAGGAAUAAACAGAAGGGGACAGAUGAGCUCUAUGAUAUUCAUCAUUGUAUUACAGAACAACUGCCCUUUAUGACUGUCUUUAAGAUUGUGAUUUCAUGAGAUAUAUUUUAGCAUAACCAUAACAGGAGAGAAAAAGAGAAAAGAAUGAGAAAGAUAUGCCUGCUUUUGGAUGGGAAAAGAUCAGUAGAAGCAAAGAACUAUCAGAGGUGUCUUGAAAGGUGCAACAACUUAACCACUUCAUAUGGAAGGCAUUUUUGAGUGUGCAAGAUGUGUAACAUGCAAGACUUGAACAGUAUUCUACAUCAGAAUGACUUCAGUUUUCUAUUUGGCUGACAUAUUUAAUUUAUCCUGUCAAGAAACAAGUUCUCUGUGAAGUAUGGCUCAAGGGUGUUGUGUGAAUGCUUUGACAUUUAUCCCCCUCUUCUGCUCAGUCUAAUCAGGUCAGAUUGAACCCUAUGUAUUCUUAAACCUUCAAAGAACAUGGGAAGUAUGGAAAACUAUUUUGCCAGAACUAUAUGUAUAUUUUUCGAAAGAUGUCUAGUUUAACUAGCUUGUUCCUUCAAUUUUAAGAGUAAAGCUGUGUUUAGGUGAUACUAAGUAGGCCUGCAAACUGCUCUCAUUGAAUCCAAAUCAAAUAAUCUAACUGGCAUAUCUGAGUUCUGAGGUUAUUGAUCUUGAUUACUGAUCAUUAUGGAGAUGCAGUGCUUCAAAAACUUUACACUAUGAAACAAUUCAUGAUAAUUCCUUUCCAAUGAUGUGGAAAUACACUGAAGUCAUUCACAAGAUAUAAUGCACAAUGAAUUGAAAAUGCUAUAGGGCUGAAAAAUAAAGUUUCUCAAAAAAAAAACCA
rnacentral:lncRNA from 1 species